CUUGGUAGGAGGAGUCGCGCGGCGGCGAGCUCGGCGGGGAAGAGCGGCGAAGGGCGGCGCGGGGCGGAAGGAGACUCUUUUCGUCAGGUGAGCCUAAUGGAUGGAUGGAUCCGAUCAUGUCGACUCGAACCGCAGCAUAGGAGAAAAAUGAAUUUGGGCCUCUUUAAUUCGUAUGAUUUUACAAACAUGGGAAUGAAAAGAAAAAACAGUUCUGCUAAAACACAUCUACUACAUGUGAGAUAAAUAUUGCACAUACAAAUCCUAUAUCAUUGAUCUUACAUAAAGGUUCGAGUGUUUUUUUUUCCUUUUUAUGCUUAAUUUAGUCAUUUAGAUGUAUAAUAACCAUGUCACAUUUAGAUGUAUCUUGAACAUACUGAAAAAAUAUAGAAUUAAAAUAUCAUACCCAUUUAAAUUCUAUAGAAUUAGCAAUGAGUGUUUGAUGUCAUAGGAAAAAACAAAGCAAUUGUAAAAACAGAUGUGAAUGAAUGUUAGAUUUUUUAUGAAAAAUAGCACAAAAGAUUUCAUAGAAGAAAUUUCUAUGAAAUCCAAUUCUAUGAAUCAAAAUACCAACAUAGAAAAAGUUCUUACAAAUUUUAAUUCUUGAGAAAUCCUAUAGAAUUCCUUUGAAUCAAAGAGGCCCUAAAGUCAAAAAAAAUCUGACAGGUGAGCCCAGAGCCCAUAAAACGAAAAAAGAAGAGAAAAUGGGAUAUUUCUGCAAAAUGGCGACAAAAGGUGUAUUGUUUGUGUGAAGAAACAAUAUAUAUUUUUGGUGAAAAAACAAUAUAUGUUUUUUUGCGAAAAAAACAAUACAUGCUUGUGCGGCAAAGACAAAUAAAACAAGUGUUUUUUAAUCAAAUUAAUGUUCUGUGUGCUUCCAACAUAUAUCAUAUAAAUUAUAUUAAACCAUAUGCAUUCUUUAGAAAUAAGUUAAUUGCUCCUAUGAAGAUACGUCAGUUUUCCCAUUUACAAGAUUUGAGCUUCAGAUUAUAUACUAUAUAUUGGGUUAACUUUCGGAUACCUUUUCUUAAUAAAAAAACUUGUAUAUACCUAGAACUGGUACCUCCUCUCUAAACCCUAGAGAGGGGAUUUUUCGAGAUGCCCCCACCCUUCCUUCACCGGUAGAUCGUUACGCCCUACUCCUUCACCGGGAGGUGGGGAAGCCUGAGUAUACUAGAUGGAAAUCUCGUUUUCUUUUUCUUUUUUGAGCCUUUAGUAGGGUUACGUGGCGACAUUUUGUUGGUGGUGACAACGUAGAUAUGACGAAUAAAGUUUUGUUAAGCAUCCAUGUCUCGAUGGUGUUGGUAGUGGCGUUGUCGAUGGCUUGUUGAUGUAGAUUCCAUGUCCAUCUCUUUGGUAGUUGAGGUUAUGGUUUGUCAUUUGUGGCAGCACCGACAACUUUUCUUCGCAUUUUGGUCAUCCAACCUCCUCUUCGUCAUGCUGGUGCCUGCGUAAGGCCUAAGAAUUAGGAUGUUGGGAUUGAAGAAGGCCUUCUUUCUGGCUUGGAAGAUCAUUUUGUUUCUCGUUACUAGCUUAUACAUUGUAUGUGUGGAUCUUGCAGUGGUAACGGCUUCCAUGGCGCUAGUCCGGCGGAACUGUGGUGUUGAUGCCUUCCCGUUCAUGAUUAACACGACCAGUUAGCUUCGAUAAUGGAGAGGUAGCGAUAACAACACACCAUUAGAUUGUUUUGAAUGAAGAAGACGAUUGGCCCCAAGUAAACCUGAUCAUGGACAGUCGAAGCCAACGUGUAGGCUAAAAACAACGUUCGGACCGAGCUCUCGGGCUUCAGACGCUUUUUGUCGAAAUAUAGGGUGGCUUUAGGAUAAUUCAACAAUUUCAGAUAAAUCUCUAAGGGCUCAUGUUGGUGUGAGACUAAGGAAUGGUGGAAAGUUUAGUCCCACCCCACGAGUAUAGAAGGAGCUGGACCUCCUUAUCAGGGAUUCUCUUUCACAUGCUAUUGGAUCUUGAGAAGAGACGCAGUUCCCGAGUGCUCCUCCUCCGCCAUCUGCCUCACCAUGCCCCGUCACGAUGCACCAGGGGGUUGCGGGAGUGAGCUGAGCCGAGCUCACACCUAUACACUUAUUUUUGUCGAUCAAGAACGGAGAGUCCUUAACAGACGGGUCACGAGCUGAAACGUCGGAUCAUGGGAUGUUGCCGACUCGGACGUGAUUCCAACACACGUCCUCGUACCCGACCGCGCAUAUAUACUGGAGGCGUUGGCAACCCUAGCCGCCAGAAGAAGAACACAUCACAUUUGCCAUGCCUGCAUGCGCAUUUGUAUAUGUUGUUCCUUUUGUUGUUGCUGGCCUCGGUGAUCCAUCCCGUCCAUAAUGUACACGGUUGACGGGAGAGCAGACCUUCAAAACACCGCCUCUUUAGAUCAGAGGGGCUAUUAGAUUUCAAGGGAGCUUCUCCUAUGCGACCACUCGCCACUGUUCGUCCACGUCCGUUACAACGUCUACACCCGUGUCGCUUUCGUCACUGCCAUGGCACCGAAGCUGACCGACUCACCGUCGAGAAACUUGAAGCCGAGAUGAAGGCCAUUGUCUCCACCGUGACUUCUGCCUGGCCUACUAGAGAGUAUAACGCAUUUAUUUUGCUCUUUUUUUAUUUGUGUGCUAGCUGUACUAGCGUUACUUGUAGAUAUGUCUAUUGUUUUUUUGGAACAAAGGCUCCAUAAGAGCCCGACUUUGAAUUAACAAAGUCAUCAAUGGACCAUGAUUACAUACUAGAAGCCAGCACAAAGAUAAAUUAAACAACAAGAUACAUGGGCGUUGGUAAGCAGCUCACAAGCCUCAGAGCAUCUCUAGCAGACCCCAUAAAAGGACCGAACCCGCAAAAUUACGGCGAGUAUACGGGUUCGACCCGUUUUAGUGGCCAGAACACACUCCGUAUAGCGUAUCCGGCCCGCAAUUUUUUACCACGGCCCAGAAAAGAACCCCCCCAACCGGCAUAUGCGCGGUUUCAUAACACUGAUACGUGUCAAAACCCUAUCAUCCGCCGCCAUAGCUCCGCCAUGAUUCAUCUCCCACUCCGCCCUAAUUUCCCGCUGCCGGCGAGACAAAAACCCAUAGCGGGCCGUCCCGACCAUGGACGGCCACGGAAAUGGAGGGAAUGACGCCGAGCGUCGUCGCUGCUGUGCCUCCGACGCCGCACGCAAGCGGGGAUCGCGGAGGUGGCUGAACUACGGCCGCCGGCUUUCGAACGCCGCGAGCUCGAGAAGUACGAGCGUGAUCUCGCGACCUGAUGCAUCGGCUCCUUCAGCUCCUCUGCCGGUGGGAGUUCGUUCGCGGACGCCUCAUCCUCGCUGACCAUCACUCCGAUGAAGAGAAGGCCAGAGGAGCUCGUGUCACACGCCGUUAAGCUCGAGGAUGACGUCGUCCCGCCGUGUGGAGGGGUCAUCGGCCCCGAGGACUACUUCCCCCGGGGCAGGAGGAUCACCUCAUGUGUGCCAUCAUGGAGCGCUCGGUGAGGGAGGCGGCGGAGGACGCCGCACACAACCACCGCGAGCUGGAGAUCGAGCAGAUCUUCCUCGAGCAAGGGGUCACAGCGUCGCAGGCGAGCGCGUCCAAGGAGGCGGACCUGCGCGUCAUGAAGGCCGAGCAGGACAAGAUCUGGAUUGACCCCGACUCCGACGAGGACUGAGCUCCUCCGGCUCCUCCACCGCGUCGUCGCCGCCGCACCCGUCAUUUUUGGUAGCCUUGGCUCGGGUACGCUGCACGGCCCGCAGCCCCCCUACCUAGUAGUAGUUUGAAGAACUGAUGUAGGUCGCUGAUGAAGGAUGAUAUAGUUUGAUGAAGAACCGUGAUGUAAUUUGAUGAAAACCAUGAUGUAGUUUCACCCGCGAACCCUUUUUUCAAAUUUUACAGUUUCAUAUACGGGUCUGAUCUUUGGCGCACGAAAUGGCCCCGCAAAAUUGCUUCGCGGCGACCUGUAAACUCAUUUUGCGGGUCGCUCUUUUACAGGAUCUGCUAGAGAUGCUCUCAGACACACCAAGCUAAAAAAGGAUCGAUAGGAAGAAGCAUAGCUCGAAGAUGGAGAGGUCCUCAUCGCGAGCAGAACAUGAGGGAAGGAGAAUGUUGGCUCUGGAUCAACACGUCCAACGACGAGGAAGAGCACGCCACCGUCUAAACACCGGAAGCCCCGAUUUAUGUGUAGAUGCGUCUAUAGCUUUGCGUAAUAUGUACUUAUGUGACCAAAUCAGUAUGUGCUUAACACGGUUGAUGUUAUGCUCAUGAUUUAUUUCUGGACUAAAUCAAUCAAAAAAACGCUAAUAUUUCCAACACUUUUCAAGAUUUGCUCGAGCUUGAGAAGAGAGUUAAUUUUGGACUUUGGGCUGGGCUCAAGCUUGUAGUUUCAGGAUCAAGCUUUUGCAAGCCUGGCCC
rnacentral:lncRNA from 1 species